rnacentral:rRNA from 1 species
UACGAAGGGUGCUAGCGUUGUUCGGAAUUACUGGGCGUAAAGCGUACGUAGGCGGCUUGAUAAGUCGACUGUGAAAGCCCCAAGCUUAACUUGGGAAUUGCAGUCGAAACUGUCUCGCUCGAGUUUGGUCGGGGAUGGUGGAAUUUCUAGUGUAGGGGUGAAAUCCGUAGAUAUUAGAAGGAAUAUCGGUGGCGAAGGCGACCAUCUAGGCCAAUACUGACGCUAAGGUACGAAAGCGUGGGGAGCAAACAGG